rnacentral:sRNA from 1 species
CCUGAAAUCAAGUAAUGAUGUAUGAGAUUGAUGUA